rnacentral:rRNA from 1 species
CCUACGGGUGGCAGCAGUGAGGAAUAUUGGUCAAUGGGCGCGAGCCUGAACCAGCCAAGUAGCGUGAAGGAUGACUGCCCUACGGGUUGUAAACUUCUUUUAUAAAGGAAUAAAGUGAGGCACGUGUGCCUUUUUGUAUGUACUUUAUGAAUAAGGAUCGGCUAACUCCGUGCCAGCAGCCGCGGUACUACGGAGGAUCCGAGCGUUAUCCGGAUUUAGUGGGUUUAAAGGGAACGUAGAUGGGUUGUUAAGUCAGUUGUUAAAGUUUGCGGCUCAACCGUAAAAUUGCAAUUGAUACUGGCAGUCUUUAUUACAGUUGAUGUAGGCUGCAUUCGUGGUGUAGCGGUUCACUGCUUAGAUAUCACGA